rnacentral:lncRNA from 1 species
GUCGAAGUUCGGAGCGACUCUGUCGACAAGGGUUUGGUAAACGCGCCAGCAUGACUCGGAGGCGUUGAGGGGCGGCAGGAAGUUUCCGGUGCGUUUGAGGUAUUGUGAAUCCACGAGACGAAGGCCCUUUUUAACGUUCUGACACUGCGAGGGCAGGUCACUCGGAGUCUUGAACUGGGACAUCAGCUGCUGUAAGAAGUUGAAGUCAAGCGGGCACGAAACGGUGGCGUUUCGUUGUGCCGCGGCCGUUGUUGUGGAGGCCGCCAGGAAAAGAAUGAGAACAAGGCCUCGUAAGAAUGACAUCGGCAUCGACAUCUCGGGGACGGGGAGAGAUACCGGGGGGUGUUGGUAGCAGUACAGAGACAACAAAGACAACAAUAAGGAAAAGCAUGUGCACGUGCUUGUGCUUGGGGAUUGUGGUGCAAUUUGAGUAAACUAGUGUAAUUUGAGUUGGGAGUUUGACUAAUCACUAGUAAAUUCCCUAUGGCAUGCAACGGGUGAUGGCGGCAGGCAAGGCAAACACAGCCAGCCAGUUAUGACAGUUGAUUAGCUUAACCUACUGCAAAUUUGAAGCUUCAGAGAAGGUGAGAUAGUUCAAUUCAUUUGAUUUCGUUCAAUAAAAAUAUAAUAAAUAAAAGUUAUUGCUUCCUUACUUACCUAGUUUGUUAAUUUUCAACGCCUUAUUUUUGUCUGUCAAUAGAAACUUCAAGUCCAUUCAUCAAAUUGUCAAUUAUAUUAUUAGUCAAUUUAUUACGUGUUUGAUUCGAAUUUGUGUGUGAAAGUUCAAGAAAGGGGUGCAAUAACAUGUUUUAACUGUAGGGGAGGAUUAGUUAUUUUUUAUCUUACAGGCGGAAUAGGGUGUUAUUAUAAUGGGCUGCUCUGGAUCUGAAAGGAGACUCUUCUUAAAAAAAAAAUGAAAGAGACAAAAGAAAAUUGCAAAGACAUGUCAUCAAUUUCUAAGUCUUAACAAGGAGGUCUCCUUCUCCUUCUCGUAUGGCCUUUUAUUUUAUUUUAUUUUUUUUUUGAGUUAGAUAGGAAGUCUCUGUCUUGUCUUAAACUUGAUGUUCUGUAAGAUGUUCCAUUGGUCCGAAUUAUUGCACUAUCUUUUCAUCAGGUACUGUAUUUUAUAUAAAUAUAUUCUCAUGUCACAUAAAAUUCGAUGCAAAGUUUAUUGGGAUUUAAUGACAUCAAUAAAUCAUCAAUAAAUCCUCCUUUGUUUAUCUAUUCUUUUAGACUUUCUUGUACAACCUUAUUUCUCUUUUCCUUAUGGGGAAUGCUAUUCGAACGUCUAUCCAUUUUACCAUUUAAAGUGAAAAGCGCUUGUACAAAAGACAAUAAUACUAGGGAGAUCUUAGUAGUAGUAUUUGAGUUUUAAUCCAAAUUUUAUUAUCAUGUAUCAUUUAUUUAUUAGAUAAUAAAUUUCAUAACUUAUACAUUAUUUGACCACCAUCUGAUAAAUCAAUACUCCUAUAAAAAUAGUUAUGGAUGGAACAAUAACAUUCACAUCACUCAUUUUUCAUGUGUUAUCAUAAAAGCAUGUUGUUUGUUCAUUUUGUAAAAAUACCCUUAACCCAUGUUUGGUUGGAAGAAAUGGUAGGAGCGGAAAGGAAAGAAUGGGAGAGAAAAUGAGUGAAAAUGAGUGAAAAAGAAUGUCAAUUUCAUUUUUAUUGUUUGGAUGGUCAAAAAUUAUUACUAGAAAAUAGACCGCGAAGAAUUGAAGAAUUACAGAUGAAUGUACAAAAAGAACUUAAUUGUGUGAAUCGAAAAAUAAACAUUGCUAUUACACGAAUUACAAAUCCUUAUGGACACCCCAAUAUUCUUGCCGAAUUUAUAGCCGGCUGCUGUACGGCCAAGGCGGAUGUACGGUACAGCAGUUAAAAAAUACUAUAAUAUUUUACAAUCUAUUAGAUAAAUUUUAUUAUAUUAAAAAAAGUUUUAGAAUAAAUGAAAACAUAAUAUUAAAAUAAGUAUAAAAAAUUCAAAAUAUUUGGGAUACUAUGUAAAAUAAUUUUAAUAUUAUUAAUGCGUGCAAUAUAUUUUAUUAAAUGUAAAGUAUAUUUAACUCAGAGAUUUAUUUAAAAUCUUUGUAAUAGAUUCAUGAAAGUAUUAAAAUAAUAUAGUGAUAUAAAUUAUUUUUAAAUAUUUUACUUUUAUUAAUUUAUUAAAUAGAUUAAAUUAUUUGUGUUUAUGUAUAUUUACUCAAAUAUUUAAAGUUAAUUAUUUUAAUCAUUAUAUUUAAAAGGUAUUAUUUAACUUUAUUUAUAAAAAAAUUUAGAGAUAUGUAUGACCAUUUUCAUAAAUUUUACGGGUAAUGAUUCCUUUUUCGUAAAUAAAUAAAUUAAUUAAAAAUGGAGAAAGGUUUGGCAGAGUUGUGUUUGGCUUGAGAUUCCUUUUGACAAGCAAUUCUUGACGGGAAAAUGAGUUGGUUGUUUGUCUUUUAUCCCCAAAGAUGUGAGACUGAUUCAAGUUAUUUACGCAUCCUGUCCAUUAUCCAACAACAAUUCUGGUGACGACAGUGAUCUGAUCUACUACCCAUUUUAAUUAGUAAUAAAUUAGGUACAGCUAGCCACCGAUUUAGAAAGGAGAGUUGGCAACAGCAUUGGUUCACUCCUGAAAAAAUAUUAAAAAAAUAAAUCGAGAGUUGCAAUUUGCCAUUUGUUUCGAUGAUUAUUCAAAAGUGGUUGUUUUGGGAUACAUUUGAAUAAAGGAAUGCAGGCCUUGGAGAAAUAAUAAUAAUAAUAAUGAACAACAUAUAUGAGAUCCUCGGUUGGCCUCUCCACAUCGACAUCUAUAGAUGCAGUCUCGGAUCCUCAAGAAGCAACAAUGUUAAAUGCAUAUCACUCACAAUAUCCCGUAAUAACACAAUCUUAUGAGCAAAAUUUGCAAAAACACCAAAACCACACAGGACCUUAGUAAAUGAAAACACCUGCUAUUCAUAUACAAGUAGAAUUUUAGCUUUGUUAUCACGAUGCACCCUACUUGAAAAGAAUCAACUUUGAAUUAUGCAUCUAUGUACUCUUUACAAGGUGGAACAUGAUUCAAAUUUCAAGAACCACGAAAGCUAUAUAAAAAAUAUAUCAAGGCCAACAAAACCAUCGGUGCAGACACCGGUAAUUACAACAAUUCUACUGGUUUGGAACCAGAGUUUCUCACUUCUUCCUUAUGACUGGAAUCAGAGAUUCUCACUUCUUCCUUAUGACUAGAAGGGCGCUCAAUUUCAGUAAAAGCCUGAUAGCCGGUAUAACUUGAGAACUGACCUGAGCCACUAUUACUGCUCAUAGACUUCUCAAUCUCAUCUAUCUCAGCUACAAGAGAAAUUGGUCGUUCUGGGAUUGUGGGAACAGACUGCUCAGUUUCCAACAUUUUCACGACCUGAUCCAUCGUUGGCCUGGCAUAUAACUGUGGAUGGGAACAAAGAACGGCAAUCGUUACAUACUUCUCUAGAACUUCGGGUACACCCAUCUCUGGCAUACCAUCUUCAAUAACAUCCAGAGCUCUCCCCUCCUUCACCAAUGACCAAGCCCAGUCCGUCACAAGAGAAGCUUGGCCAUCAUCAUUCAUAAUGAGUGCCUUCCUGCCACUCAAAAGCUCCAGAAGCACAACACCAAAGCUGUACACAUCACUCCUGUCAGUCAAUUGCCCAUACAAAGCAUACUCAGGAGCAAGAUAUCCCAUUGUCCCAGCCACCCUAGUACUCAAAUGAGUGAGCCCCUCCGGCGUAAACUUUGCAAGCCCAAAAUCCCCCACCUUCGCCUCAAACUUCUCAUCCAAUAAUAUAUUACUAGCUUUAAUAUCCCUGUGAAAAAUUGCCGGCUGUGCACCAAAAUGCAAAUAGGCCAAUCCCCUUGCCGUCCCAAGAGCAAUCGACUGCCUAAGAUGCCAACUAAGCUUCGGCCCAUUGGAAGCAAACAAAUGAUCAUAAACGCUUCCAUUCUUCAUCAAAUCACAGACAAUAAUUCUCUGGUGACCCUCUAACUGAGUAGUGGCAAUACAAUAACCUCUCAAAGCAACAAGAUUGACAUGCCUAACGCUAGCAAUAACCUCCACCUCAUGCUUGAAAGUUGCAUCACCCGCCGCGGAACAAUUCUUGAACCUCUUCAAAGCAACCUCAGAGCCAUCGGGCAAAAGCCCUUUGUAGACAUUACCAUAACCUCCUCUCCCAAUGAUAUUAUCCCUUGAGAAAUUCCGAGUAGCUUUCUUAAUGUCAUCAAAUGUGAACCUGACCAAAUUAGUACUCUCAUGAAUAGACUCCAAUCCCAUUUCAAUUCUAUUAACCUCUUCUCGUUCCCUCUUCUUUCUUCUGUUAGAAACCACACGCUUACGCCAAAAGAUCCAAACCCCACCAGAAAUUAGCAACAACCCAACAACACAAACAACCAAAACCCCGGCAAUUAAGCCCUUGUUCUUCUUCUUACUCUUCUUUGAUGAUUCAGUUACCUCAAAUGAGAACAAACACUUAGCAGUGCCCCUAUCGGUGGGACCAAACUGAUUGACGGCCGCGGCGGCGUAAAUGAAGGGAUAGGCCAGACAAUCAGACAAGUUCCCAACGGAAGGCCCGGUCAAAUAGGCCUGCAAGCGGGCCAAGCUGGUAGUACAAGCAGCACAAGGGGCACUAUUCCCCAAGGACUGGUUACAGUUGGAAACGACGUCGUCGAGAGUGGACUGGGGGAUCAAUCUCUCGAACUGGGAUCUCGUGGAGAUGUUCAUACAGCCUUCAGAGAUCCAAUCGGUUUGGAAGCCGCAGCGGGAGCGUACGUCGAAGUUCGGGGCGACUCUGUCGACAAGGGUUUGGUAAACGCGCCAGCAUGACUCGGAGGCGUUGAGGGGCGGCAGGAAGUUUCCGGAGCGUUUGAGGUAUUGUGAAUCCACGAGACGAAGGCCCUUUUUAACUUCCUGACACUGCGAGGGCAGGUCACUCGGAGUCUUGAACUGGGACAUCAGCUGCUGUAAGAAGUUGAAGUCAAGCGGGCACGAAACGGUGGCGUUUCGUUGUGCCGCGGCCGUUGUUGUGGAG